GAUGAAGAAGGCAGCGAAAUGCGAUACGUGAUGUGAAUUGCAGAAUUCAGUGAAUCAUCGAGUCUUUGAACGCACAUUGCGCCCCCUGGUAUUCCGGGGGGCAUGCCUGUCCGAGCGUCAUUGCUGCCCUCAAGCACGGCUUGUGUGUUGGGCCUCCGUCCUCCUCCCGGGGGACGGGCCCGAAAGGCAGCGGCGGCACCGCGUCCGGUCCUCGAGCGUAUGGGGCUUCGUCACCCGCUCUUGUAGGCCCGGCCGGCGCUUGCCGACACAUCAAUCUUUUUUCCAGGUUGACCUCGGAUCAGGUAGGGAUACCCGCUGAACUUAAGCAUAUCAAUAAGCGGAGGA
rnacentral:misc_RNA from 1 species